UAAGGGCGCACGGUGGAUGCCUUGGCACUAGAAGCCGAUGAAGGACGUUACUAACGACGAUAUGCUUUGGGGAGCUGUAAGUAAGCUUUGAUCCAGAGAUUUCCGAAUGGGGAAACCCAGCAUGAGUUAUGUCAUGUUAUCGAUAUGUGAAUACAUAGCAUAUCAGAAGGCACACCCGGAGAACUGAAACAUCUUAGUACCCGGAGGAAGAGAAAGAAAAUUCGAUUCCCUUAGUAGCGGCGAGCGA
rnacentral:rRNA from 3 species